AGAAUCAACGCUGGCGGCGUGCCUAACACAUGCAAGUCGAACGAGAAAGUGGAGCAAUCCAUGAGUAAAGUGGCGACCGGGUGAGUAACACGUGACUAACCUACCUUCGAGUGGGGGAUAACAUCGGGAAACCGAUGCUAAUACCGCAUAAUAUCGCAAGAUCAAAGCAGCAAUGCGCUGGAAGAGGGGGUCGCGGCUGAUUAGCUAGUUGGCGGGGUAACGGCCCACCAAGGCGAAGAUCGGUAGCCGGCCUGAGAGGGCGCACGGCCACACUGGAACUGAAACACGGUCCAGACUCCUACGGGAGGCAGCAGUGGGGAAUUUUGCGCAAUGGGGGAAACCCUGACGCAGCAACGCCGCGUGGAGGAUGAAGCCCCUUGGGCGUAAACUCCUUUCGACCAAGACGAUAAUGACGGUACUGGUGGAAGAAGCACCGGCUAACUCUGCGCCAGCAGCCGC
rnacentral:rRNA from 1 species